rnacentral:ncRNA from 1 species
GUGAUUUCUGCCCAGUGCUCUGAAUGUCAACGUGAAGAGAUUCAUCAAAGCGCGGGUAAACGGCGGGAGUAACUAUGACUCUCUUGUCAUAGUUACCGGUAAGCGGGGGGCAGAUUCAUGAUGGGGCAGGUGGGGAU